UUAAAUUGUCAUUUCUUUUGCCUCUGACGCGACUCGUUUCCUAUUUCUUAAUUAUUUAAAUCGAGAAUAUUUUAACAUAUUCAGGUGCAAAUGAAGAGAGAAAUUCAGAUAAUGCAGUCAUAAUUGAAGAACGAGAACCAGCUGCAGGUAAUCCUUUAAAUAUUUUUAUGUUUUCGCGAAUGUAGUUUUUCUACGCCUGGCACACUUUAUGUGCGUUAUGGUUUGUCGUGGCUCUAAAAAGUUAUGCGGCAAACUUUGCGUGAUUCGUACAUUUUAAUAUUAUGGAGAUAGAGCUAGGUGUCCCACUUAAAACGAAUCAGCUAGUAUGAGUUAAAUGUAAUCGCAUCAUUUUUAAACCAAUCGUAUUCAAGUGGUGACCUUAGCUAGCCAAUCAAAGGUAAGUGUAGAAUACACUUAGCCAGUCAAUUUUAAGAAAAAAAUGUGAUCUGGCAAACUGAGCAAAAUAGAAAUCAGAGUAUUGGCAUCUUGGCUAAUUUGAGUUGUCAUUUGUUUUGCCUCUGGUUAAACGCGACUCGUUUUCUAUUUCUUAAUUGUUUAAUUCGAGAAUUUUUUUAACAUAUGUAGGUGCAAGUAAAGAGAGAAAUUCAGAAAAUGCUGCCGUAAUUCAAGAGCGAGAGCCAGUUGCAG